UGCAAAACAGAAGUGUUAUUUAAUAACUUUGUAAAAUGAAAUCACACACAAGGCAUACAUUUAAAUUACAAAGCCUUAACAAGCAUUACAAGGGAUUAUUCUAGGCAUACAGAUCUUAAUGUUAAUUUACAAGGCAAAGCAUCAACUAGGCCUAAUCCGACCUACUCAGGCCAUGGGCUUGGUUAUUUUAGAAGAGAAGCAUUUUCGUACAACUUUAUUCAAUGGGCAGGACACAGGAUAAGAGUGAUACUUUCAUUUCAUAUAUACCAGAUCUGACUUGUUAAUUUUCAAAAUAAAUUGUUGACCAAUUCACAGACCAAAGAUAAUAAAUUAAUAUCCAAUCAAAUUGAACCAGCCAACAUCCUCUAGAAAGAGGAUUACAUCUAUUUUUUUAUUUUCUUUAUUUCACCUUUAUUUAACCAGGUAGGCAAGUUGAGAACAAGCUCUCAUUUACAACUGCGACCUGGCCAAGAUAAAGCAAAGCAGUUCGACACACAUAACAGAGUUGGAGUAAAACAAACAUACAGUCAAUGUUGUGUAUUGAUAUUCUAGUUUGUCCCUUUAGGGCACCUGUAACCCCCCUUUGCUUACCUACGUUGAAAUGCUUGGAAUGUUCUUCCUGUAAAACGCAUUAAACAAUGUCCACUUUAAUUUCUACUCUGGUCUCAUGUCCUGUCCUUAUAUUAGUUGUAUAAGUAAUACAGUGUGCUAUACAACAAAACUGGCGACGAGGAAGAAACGUUCUCACGUUUGUGCUCAUCAUCUUCGGCAGAAAGUCUGAGUUAAAUUCGUUAUAUUUUUUUCUCUCUCUGUAGAAAGACGCAAACAAAACGUGGAGCUAGCCAGUCGAGUGAUGCUAGCUAGCCUUUGAUGUCACGGCCUCGAGGGAUAGGAAGAGUUUCGCUGCGGGAGGAAGUGAAGUCACCGUGACUUUAAUUUUUUUUUUUAAAAGGGGCCUGGGAGUAAGGGACCAUCUGAAAAGUGUGAGAUAGAAAAAUAAACUGAAAAUGUCUGCAUUGAUUGAAAAUAUAGGAACAUUUGAUGAAUCUGUGGAACAAUGGAGUUCUUACACAGAACAUUUUGAGUACUUUGUGUUGACAAAUGGAAUUAAAGCAGAAGUCGUGCCAACAUUUUUGACUGUUAUGGGAGGAAAAACGUUCAAUCUACUGCGCAGCCUAGUAACUUCUGGAAAACCUGGUGAUAAAUCAUAUGAUGAAAUUGUGCCUUAAAAGGACAUUCUCCCAAACCACUGAUAAUUGCAGAGAGAUUCCAGUUUCAUAAGAGAAAUCAAGAGGAGGGGGAAUCAAUCUCACAGUUUGUGGCUGUAUUGAAACAGUUAUCUGAACACUGUGAAUUUGGGUGAUCAAUGAGUGACACUAUACGUGAUAGGUUAGUGUGUGGCAUGCGCAGCAAGGCAAUUCAGAAACGCCUUUUGACUGAGAGUAACUUAACAUUGCAGAGAGCAAUAGAAGUGAGUGCGUCAAUGGAAAUGGCAAAUAAAGACACACAACAGCUAAGUGCAUCGACCAAAGUGUAUAAGGUGUCUAUGUGGUUAAAGAACAAGGCAGGAGGUGGCAAGCCAUGCUAUCGCUGUGGGAAACCAGGGCACCAAGCAGAGGAGUGUUGGUGCAAUGACUUAGACUGCAGAAGUUGUGGGGAAAAGGGUCACAUCGAACAUGCAUGUAAAAACAAAAAGACACAAACAAAAGUACUGAACAAAGGAAAAGCGACUUCAGGAAGUACAAAAAGAAAGUGCAUAAAAUGGAGCACACAGAUGAUGAACAAAGUGAUACCCUGUCUGAAGGGAAAGAAUCUUUGCAUGUUAUGUCAAUUUCAGACAAUGGAUACGGGUACUGGGUGACACCACUACUGGAUGGAAACGCAGUACGGAUGCAAGUGGGCACUGGAGCAGCCAUAUAUUUGCUGUCUGAGGCUGUACGCUGACGCUGAAAACAUACACCGGUGAGAUUGUUCCAGUGAGAGGAAGCGUGAUUGGUACAGUGGAGCUCAACAAACAGAAGGUAAAGAUACCACUCUACAUAGUGAAAGGCCACUAUCCAGCAUUGCUAGGAUGUACAUGGCUGGAAGAUCAAACUUACCUGGCAGGAAAUUCACAUGGUUGCAGAAGAGGACACAAACCUACAAGGGAUAUUGAGGAAACAUGCGGAUGCGUUCAAAGGAGACCUUGGCAGUAUGAAGGACAUAACAGUUAAACUGACAGUGAAACCAGACAGCAAGCCAAAAUGCUUCAAAGCUAGACCUGUCCCAUACGCCAUAAAACCAAAAGUUGAAAUUGAGCUAAACAGUCUAGUCGAGAGUGGAGUAUUGGAUCCAGUGAAUGUUAGUGAAUGGGCUACACCCGUUGUUCCAGUCAUGAGAAAAAAUGGAUCACUCAGACACAUGAUUGAGUGUAGUCUGGCCCAGGAGUGGGAAGGUGAACGGAAAGGCUCUGGAGCAACGAACCGCCCUUGCUGUCUCUGCCUGGCCGGUUCCCCUCUUCCCACUGGGAUUCUCUGCCUCUAACCCUAUUACGGGGGCUGAGUCACUGGCUUACUGGGGCUCUCUCAUGCCGUCCCUGGAAGGGGUGCGUCACCUGAGUGGGUUGAUUCACUGAUGUGGUCAUCCUGUCUGGGUUGGCGCCCCCCUUGGGUUGUGCCAUGGCGGAGAUCUUUGUGGGCUAUACUCAGCCUUGUCUCAGUAUGGACCUGAGCCCUAGGACCAUGCCCCAGGACUACCUGACAUGAUGACUCCUUGCUGUCCCCAGUCCACCUGGCCGUGCUGCUGCUCCAGUUUCAACUGUUCUGCCUUAUUAUUAUUCGACCAUGCUGGUCAUUUAUGAACAUUUGAACAUCUUGGCCAUGUUCUGUUAUAAUCUCCACCCGGCACAGCCAGAAGAGGACUGGCCACCCCACAUAUGCUCUCUCUAAUUCUCUCUUUCUUUCUCUCUCUCGGAGGACCUGAGCCCUAGGACCAUGCCCCAGGACUACCAGACAUGAUGACUCCUUGCUGUCCCCAGUCCACCUGACCGUGCUGCUGCUCCAGUUUCAACUGUUCUGCCUUAUUAUUAUACGACCAUGCUGGUCAUUUAUGAACAUUUGAACAUCUUGGCCAUGUUCUGUUAUAAUCUCCACCCGGCACAGCCAGAGAGGACUGGUCACCCGACAUAGCCUGGUUCCUCUCUAGGUUUCUUCCAAGGUUUUGGCCUUUCUAGGGAGUUUUUCCUAGCCACCGUGCUUCUACACCUGCAUUGCUUGCUGUUUGGGGUUUUAGGCUGGGUUUCUGUACAGCACUUUGAGAUAUCAGCUGAUGUAUGAAGGGCUAUAUAAAUAAAUUUGAUUUGAUUUGAUUUGACACUGUGGUGAUUUCAAAGUCACCAUUAACCCAGUCUUGACUGCUGAAAAAUAUCCACUACCCCUCAUUUACGACCUCUUUUCUGGUUUAGCUGGAGGACAACAAUUCAGUAAGAUAGGCCUGACAUACGUCUAUCUACAGAUGCAUGUGUACCAAGAGUCACAAGAACUGUUGACCAUAGUGACUCACAAAGGACUCCGGUACAGGUACCGGAGGCUUCCUUUUGGAAUCACCUCAGCUCCGGCCUUGUUUCAGAGAGCUAUGGACCAGAUACUGAGCGGGCUCACCGGGGUCCAAUGUUACCUCGAUGAUCUACUCAUCACCGGCAAAGACGAGCUGGAGCACCUGAGAAACCUGAACGCUACACUACAGAGAUUGGAGGAGUACUGUCUGAGGGUCCGGAAGGACAAAUGCAAGUUCGUCCGGCCCUCUGUUGAGUACCUGGGCCACGUCAUCGACAGUUUGGGGCUCCACAAGGCGCCAUCGAAGGUGAAGGCCGUUGCGGAAGCUCCAUCCCCACAGAACGUGAGUCAGCUGAGAUCAUUCUUAGGACUACUGACAUACUACGCAAAGUUUGUGCCAAACCUAGCUAACAUGUUAAAGCCACUGCAUGAACUUUUGAACAAAACCAAACAGUGGAAGUGGACAGACAGAUGUGAGGAGGCCUUCAAGAAAGUGAAAACAGCCUUAGCUCAGUCAGAGGCCCUAACCCACUUCAACCCCAACUAGCCAUUACAGUUGGCAUGUGAUGCAUCGCCUUAUGGCGUUGGUGCGGUUGUCUCACACAACAUGCCAUCAGGUGAAGAAAGGCCAAUUGCUUUCGCAGCACGGACCUUAAAUAAAGCCGAGAGCAAUUAUGCACAGAUAGAGCGUGAAACACUCGCCAUUGUGUUUGGAGUUAAGAAAUUUCAUCAGUUUCUGUUUGGCCAACGAUUCACACUGCUGACGGAUCAUAGACCCCUCACCUCCAUCUUUGGUCCCCACACCGGCAUUCCGUCGCUUGCAGCCAGCCGCAUGCAGCGAUGGGCGUUAUUGUUAUCUGCUCACCAGUACGAUAUCAAGUACAGAAGGUCUGAGCAGCACUGCAAUGCAGACGGCCUCUCAAGGCUUCCCUUACCUGUCGCACACACUGAGCACUCCCAGGCUGAAAUCUUCUACUUCAAGGAAGUGAUGAACGCCCCAGAUACAUCUGUCCAAGUGAAAAAGUUCACCCACUCUGAUCCAGUGAUGUCUGAGGUCGUGGACAUUGUCACUCGUGGAAAAGGAGAGAUGUCGGACAGCCUACAACCUUACCUAGUGAGGAGAAACGAGCUCACAGUUCAGUUUGGAUGCUUGCUAUGGGGUUUUCGAGUCAUCAUACCGCCGCCGCCACUGAGGUGGCAGGUGCUUGAAAAACUCUAUUCAGGGCACUGUGACGUGGUGCGAAUGAAGGAGAUUGCAAGCAGCUACUUUUGGUGGCCAGGUCUGGACGCAGCUAUCGAAGACAAGGUCAAGUCAUGUUCUGCAUGUCAAAAGAUGGGGAACAUGCCUCAGCUAGCGCCACUACACCCACGGGACUUCCCAGAGGAGCCUUGGCAGCGAGUCCACAUAAACUAUGCAGGCCCACUGGAGGAUCGUAUGUUCUUAGUCGUAGUUGCCACACACAGCAAAUGGCCUGAGGUCACAGUGAUGAAGAGCACCUCAGCGGAGACAACCAUCGAAGAACUACGGUCAAUCUUCAGUCGCUUCGGCUUGCCAACGCAACUCGUUAGUGAUAAUGGCCCCCAACUGGUGUCUGAAGAGUUCCGGUCAUUCAUGGAAGCAAAUUGAAUUCAGCACAUGAAGUCAGCGCCGUAUCACCCUGCAACGAACGGCCUCGCUGAAAGGUUUGUCCAAACGAUGAAGCAAGCUUUAAAAUCACCACAAGGGAACGGCUCCCUCAAUAGGCGUCUAAACACCUUCCUGUUAACCUACAGAAACACUCCCCACGCUACAACCAAAGUGGCACCCGCGUCAGCCAUGAUGAAAAGACAGCUUCGCACGCGACUCGACCUCCUGAGACCUCCAAAGACGAGACCGUUUGUACAGACACAACAGCAAGCACAGGUGGAGACACAGAGCAAAGAAAAAGACAGAAGCUUCAUAGCUAGAGAGAGAGUUCUUGCUCGGAACUACUGCAAAGGUACAAAGUGGAUACCAGCCACAGUGGUUGCACAAACAGGGCCUGUGUCCUAUACAUUUCACACACCGGAAAACAUAAUCUGGAGGAGACACGUGGAUCAACUGUUGCCAGGAACCAACCUCAGAGAUGACUCAUGUCAAGUGACAAAUCAAGAUCAGCAACUGGAGACCAACCAUGACUAUGAGCUAUCACCUGAACAUCCACUGCUGCAACCUACAAAUGUGGAAAGUGCUCCAGAGUGCGUACUCAGGGUACUGUUGCACCCCAGUCUGGGCAUACACCAUCACCACUCAGACUCAGAGAUAAUGUGACUGUAGACUCACCUGUACGUCGUCAUUACCCUGCAAGAGAAAGACGACCCCCUGACAGGUUGACUAUUUAGUUCAUUCUAACCUCCGACAUUGGGGCAGAAUACACCCCUGGGUUAAGUCUGGGGACUGAGGCAGUCUACCCUCUAUCCCUAGUUUAGAAAAGGUUAUUCUGAAAAGUUCAUUUAUUUACAUUUAGAGAAUUUAUAUUAAAAAGAAAACAAUAGGCAAAACAGUGAAUAUUUACUUUUUCCUUAUGAGUCAUCAAACAUAAAGGGGGAGGAAUAUGUUGUGUAUUGAUAUUCUAUUUUUUUCCCUUUAGGGCACCUGUAACCCCCCUUGCUUACCUAUGUUGAAAUGCUUGGAAUGUCCUUCCUGUAAAACGCAUUAAACAAUGCCC
ensembl:lncRNA